GGGGUUGUGACUUAGUGGUAGAGCGCUUGCCCAGCAUGCAUGAGGCACUGGGUUUGAUUCCCAGUACCACA
rnacentral:tRNA from 1 species